UGGGGAAUAUUGCACAAUGGGCGCAAGCCUGAUGCAGCCAUGCCGCGUGUGUGAAGAAGGCCUUCGGGUUGUAAAGCACUUUCAGCGAGGAGGAAGGUGGUGGACUUAAUACGUUCAUCAAUUGACGUUACUCGCAGAAGAAGCACCGGCUAACUCCGUGCCAGCAGCCACGGUAAUACGGAGGGUGCAAGCGUUAAUCGGAAUUACUGGGCGUAAAGCGCACGCAGGCGGUUUGUUAAGUCAGAUGUGAAAUCCCCGGGCUCAACCUGGGAACUGCAUUUGAAACUGGCAAGCUAGAGUCUCGUAGAGGGGGGCUAGAAUUCCAGGUGUAGCGGUGAAAUGCGUAGAGAUCUGGAGGAAUACCGGUGGCGAAGGCGGCCCCCUGGACGAAGACUGACGCUCAGGCUGCGAAAGCGUGGGGCAGCAAACAGGAUUAGAUACCCUGGUAGUCCACGCUGUAAACGAUGUCGAUUUGGAGGUUGUGCCCCUUGAGGCGUGGCUUCCGGAGCUAACGCGUU
rnacentral:rRNA from 1 species